UGCGUAGGCGGACUAAUAAGUCAGUGGUGAAAUCUCUCGGCUCAACCGGGAAACUGCCAUUGAUACUGUUAGUCUUGAGUUCGGUUGAGGUAGGCGGAAUGUGUAAUGUAGCGGUGGAAUGCUUAGAUAUUACACAGAACACCAAUUGCGUAGGCAGCUUACUAGACCGACACUGACGCUGAGGCACGAAAGCGUGGGUAGCGAACAGGAUUAGAUACCCUGGUAGUCC
rnacentral:rRNA from 1 species